GGAAGGAUCAUUAUCGAAGAGAAAUCCGGAGGGGAAGAUGAACGAGAGAAUUUUGAUUAGGGACUGUCGCUGGCCUUUGGUAACGAAGGCAUGUGCACGUCUCGAAGUCUUGCAAUUUUAGUACCUCGAUCUCUUUCCUUUCGCGAACCCCUUUUCUUACACCUGUGCACCCAUUGUAGGUCCCGCGAGGGAUCUAUGUUCUAUCUAUCUACUCUUAAACGUAUGGCCUAGAAUGUCUUGAAACGUCGUCCGGCCUGGCUAUAACGCUUGGUUGGCGGCAGUAAAGAACUUUAUACAACUUUCAGCAACGGAUCUCUUGGCUCUCGCAUCGAUGAAGAACGCAGCGAAUUGCGAUACGUAAUGUGAAUUGCAGAUUUUCAGUGAAUCAUCGAAUCUUUGAACGCACCUUGCGCUCCUUGGUAUUCCGAGGAGCAUGCCUGUUUGAGUGUCAUUAAAUUCUCAACCAUCCUUUGAUUCAUUUCGAGGGUUGGCUUGGAUCUUGGGGGUUGCCGGGGGAGACUCACUGGGGUCGUCGGCUCUCCUUAAAAGUAUUAGCGAACGGGUGUGACGAGCUUCGUGCAUGAACGGCCUUCGACGUGAUAAUGAUCGUCGUGGCUGGGAGUGCCUUUGGAGAGGCUUGGAUCGUCUUUUGCUUCUAAUAUUCUGAAUCGUAGAGGGGAGGGAAACUCUGCUCCGGCGGACGAAACUUUUCUUUACUUUUCUACUUUUGACUUUUGACCUCAAAUCAGGUAGGACUACCCGCUGAACUUAAGCAUAUCAAUAAGCGGAGGAAAAGAAACUAACAAGGAUUCCCCUAGUAACUGCGAGUGAAGCGGGAAGAGCUCAAAUUUUGAAUCUGGUGGUCCUUGCGGCCGUCCGAGUUGUAAUCUAGAGAAGCGUCUUCCGCGCUGGACCGUGUACAAGUCUCCUGGAAAGGGAGCGUCAUAGAGGGUGAGAAUCCCGUCUUUGACACGGACUACCAGGCUAUGUGAUGCGCUCUCGACGAGUCGAGUUGUUGGGGAAUGCAGCUCAA
rnacentral:sRNA from 1 species